GCGGGUAUAGCUCAGUUGGUAGAGCGUUGGUUUGUGGUACCAAAUGUCGCCGGUUCGAGCCCGACUACCCGCCCCA
rnacentral:tRNA from 1 species